rnacentral:rRNA from 1 species
CGGGUGAGUAAUGCGUGACCAACCUGCCCCAUGCUCCAGAAUAGCUCUUGGAAACGGGUGGUAAUGCUGGAUGCUCCAACUUGACGCAUGUCUUGUUGGGAAAGUGUUUAGUGGCAUGGGAUGGGGUCGCGUCCUAUCAGCUUGUAGGCGGGGUAAUGGCCCACCUAGGCUUCGACGGGUAGCCGGCCUGAGAGGGCGGACGGCACAUUGGGACUGAGAUACGGCCCAGACUCCUACGGGAGGCAGCAGC